rnacentral:RNase_P_RNA from 1 species
GAAGUUCGCCAGGCAAUCGCUGCGUCCCGCGCGGGCGUGGAGGAAAGUCCGGGCUUCACAGAGCAGGAUGCCGGUUAAUGGCCGGGCGCCGUGAGGCGACGGAAAGUGCAACAGAAAGCAGACCGCCGAUGGCCGCGCGCAUGAGCGGCACAGGCAAGGGUGAAACGGUAGGGUAAGAGCCUACCGCAGCGCAGGUAACUGCCGCUGGCACGGCAAACCCCAUCCGAAGCAAGGCCAAAUAGGGAAGCCAUGGCGUGGCUCGCGUCGCUUCCGGGUAGGCCGCUGGAGCGGCGCAGCAAUGCGUCGCCAAGAGGAAUGAUUGCCCGGCGGCGUGCAAACGUCGCCCGACAGAACCCGGCUUAUCGGCGGACUUCCCAC